UACGGGGGGGGCAAGCGUUGUUCGGAAUUACUGGGCGUAAAGGGCUCGUAGGUGGCCAACUAAGUCAGACGUGAAAUCCCUCGGCUUAACCGGGGAACUGCGUCUGAUACUGGGUGGCUAGAGGUUGGGAGAGGGAUGCGGAAUUCCAGGUGUAGCGGUGAAAUGCGUAGAUAUCUGGAGGAACACCGGUGGCGAAGGCGGCAUCCUGGACCAAUUCUGACGCUGAGGAGCGAAAGCCAGGGGAGCAAACGGG
rnacentral:rRNA from 1 species